rnacentral:rRNA from 1 species
UACGAAGGGGGGCUAGCGUUGCUCGGAAUCACUGGGCGUAAAGCGCACGUAGGCGGCUUUCUAAGUCAGGGGUGAAAUCCUGGAGCUCAACUCCAGAACUGCCUUUGAUACUGGAGAGCUCGAGUCCGGAAGAGGUGAGUGGAACUCCGAGUGUAGAGGUGAAAUUCGUAGAUAUUCGGAAGAACACCAGUGGCGAAGGCGGCUCACUGGUCCGGUACUGACGCUGAGGUGCGGAAAGCGUGGGGAGCAAACAGGGAUUAAGAUACCC